GAUGAACGCUGGCGGCGUGCCUAAUACAUGCAAGUCGAGCGAACAGACGAGGAGCUUGCUCCUUUGACGUUAGCGGCGGACGGGUGAGUAACACGUGGAUAACCUACCUAUAAGACUGGGAUAACUUCGGGAAACCGGAGCUAAUACCGGAUAACAUGUUGAACCGCAUGGUUCAACAGUGAAAGACGGUCUUGCUGUCACUUAUAGAUGGAUCCGCGCCGCAUUAGCUAGUUGGUAAGGUAACGGCUUACCAAGGCAACGAUGCGUAGCCGACCUGAGAGGGUGAUCGGCCACACUGGAACUGGGACACGGUCCAGACUCCUACGGGAGGCAGCAGUAGGGAAUCUUCCGCAAUGGGCGAAAGCCUGACGGAGCAACGCCGCGUGAGUGAAGAAGGUCUUCGGAUCGUAAAACUCUGUUAUUAGGGAAGAACAAAUGUGUAAGUAACUAUGCACGUCUUGACGGUACCUAAUCAGAAAGCCACGGCUAACUACGUGCCAGCAGCCGCGGUAAUACGUAGGUGGCAAGCGUUAUCCGGAAUUAUUGGGCGUAAAGCGCGCGUAGGCGGUUUUUUAAGUCUGAUGUGAAAGCCCACGGCUCAACCGUGGAGGGUCAUUGGAAACUGGAAAACUUGAGUGCAGAAGAGGAAAGUGGAAUUCCAUGUGUAGCGGUGAAAUGCGCAGAGAUAUGGAGGAACACCAGUGGCGAAGGCGACUUUCUGGUCUGUAACUGACGCUGAUGUGCGAAAGCGUGGGGAUCAAACAGGAUUAGAUACCCUGGUAGUCCACGCCGUAAACGAUGAGUGCUAAGUGUUAGGGGGUUUCCGCCCCUUAGUGCUGCAGCUAACGCAUUAAGCACUCCGCCUGGGGAGUACGACCGCAAGGUUGAAACUCAAAGGAAUUGACGGGGACCCGCACAAGCGGUGGAGCAUGUGGUUUAAUUCGAAGCAACGCGAAGAACCUUACCAAAUCUUGACAUCCUUUGACAGCUCUAGAGAUAGAGUCUUCCCCUUCGGGGGACAAAGUGACAGGUGGUGCAUGGUUGUCGUCAGCUCGUGUCGUGAGAUGUUGGGUUAAGUCCCGCAACGAGCGCAACCCUUAAGCUUAGUUGCCAUCAUUCAGUUGGGCACUCUAAGUUGACUGCCGGUGACAAACCGGAGGAAGGUGGGGAUGACGUCAAAUCAUCAUGCCCCUUAUGAUUUGGGCUACACACGUGCUACAAUGGACAAUACAAAGGGCAGCGAAACCGCGAGGUCAAGCAAAUCCCAUAAAGUUGUUCUCAGUUCGGAUUGUAGUCUGCAACUCGACUACAUGAAGCUGGAAUCGCUAGUAAUCGUAGAUCAGCAUGCUACGGUGAAUACGUUCCCGGGUCU
rnacentral:rRNA from 1 species